GCCAUCCUUGGGAUACCACCCUUGUAGUACUGGGACUCUAACCAUAGGCCAUGAAUCUGGUCUUGGGACACUGUCAGGUGGGCAGUUUGACUGGGGCGGUCGCCUCCCAAAAGGUAACGGAGGCGCUCAAAGGUUCUCUCAGUACGGUCGGAAAUCGUACGUAGAGUGUAAAGGCAAAAGAGAGCUGGAUUGCAAGACAUACAGGUCGAGCAAGGAUGAAAAUCGGACUUAGUGAUCCGGUGGUUCUGCGUGGAAGGGCCAUCGCUCAACGGAUAAAAGCUACCCUGGGGAUAACAGGCUUAUCUCCCC
rnacentral:rRNA from 1 species